rnacentral:rRNA from 1 species
UACGUAGGGUGCAAGCGUUGUCCGGAAUUAUUGGGCGUAAAGAGCUCGUAGGCGGUUCGUCGCGUCGGCUGUGAAAACCCGGAGCUCAACUCCGGGCCUGCAGUCGAUACGGGCGGACUUGAGUGUUGCAGGGGAGACUGGAAUUCCUGGUGUAGCGGUGAAAUGCGCAGAUAUCAGGAGGAACACCUAUUGCGAAGGCAGCUCGCUGGGACGUAACUGACGCUGAGACGCGAAAGCGUGGGGAGCAAACAGG